CGGGAUGUAGUGAAGUGGUAUAACCCCUGUUUUGGGAACAGGCGUCGCUGGUUCGAUUCCAGCCAUUCCGA
rnacentral:tRNA from 1 species